rnacentral:lncRNA from 1 species
AAACAGCAUCCAAGUGACCCCUCCUGGAAAUCUCCCAGGUGAGGCUGCAAUGCAGCCUUCUGACAGUAUUCUAUAGGGAAAUGGGAUGCUAACUGAUUUCCAGAGGUGGCCUUUUUCCAGGGCUUUCUGUAAAUGCUACCUGGUGAUGAACUUGACUUUGUUCUUCUGAGGGUACUGGCCCAGUGGGCUAUCUCACCAUGGCUCUACUCACCUGGUGGCCACUGAGAGUUGACUUCUGGGAGUCGUUGCUGGAAAAGACUCUGGCAGGAAAGAAUUGUUAAGUAUCUCAACUGACUCCCCCGAGGAGAUAAAUGUCCACCCCAGGGUCAGCCAAGCAUAACAUCAGUUCUCUCUGGGCCACCAAGAUGACUCAGCAAAAAAAGCACUGGCUGCCAAGUAUGACCCGACUGAGUUCAAUUCCCAGAACCUACGGAGUUGAACCAGAUAACCAACUUGUGCAAGCUGUGCUCUGACCCCCACAUGGACAGCAUGGCACAGCUGGUGGUGCUGUUUGGGAAGGCUAUGAAGCCUUCAGAAGGUGGAGGUUUGUUGGAGGAAGGGGAUCACUGGUGAUGUGCCUUGAUGUUUUAAAGUCAGGCCAAUUUCCUGUUUGCUCUUUAACUGCCUAGGCGAUGUGUCCAAAAGACUCAAGCUUCCGGAGCCAUGUUUUCCUACCAUGAUGGACUUCAUCCCUUCAAACUGUGAGCCAAGAUAAAGUCUUCCGUCUUUGGGUUGCUUCUUCUUGGGUAUUUGGUCACAGCGAUGAGAAGGGGUCGCCACCCGCAGGUCGAGCACCACUGUUUCAAGGGUGGUUGCACCUGCAUAAGAAAGCUGCACACCUGCAUCUCCUCGGUCGUGAAGUCCACGGUGGUUCCCAGCUGCCCAUGGCGUCCUCUUCAGGGAACUGACAAGCUGGAGAUGGAAGCUACAUUUGGAGUCCUGCUCCAGGAGGGAAAACAGAAAAACAAGACACUGCCCCAACACCGCCCCCAGAUGCAUCCGGGCGGGAGCUCAUUUCCAUCCCAAAUUGACUACAGAGGGCGAAGGCUUCUGGGAAAUACCAGGUUCCUUCUGCAAGAUGAGAAAAUCAGUUCAAUAAUCCUCUACCCCCACCUCAUCCAUGAACUUUGGAUUUCAUCUUCAGCAUCAUCAAGAGACAACCAGCAAAUCGUUGUUUGCACCACAAGUGAUGGCAAGCUCAUUACACUGCAAAUUUCGCAUUCAGCUUCUGAGCACCGGAAUGCCAUCAGUUUGUGCCAUCGUUGGAACUGAUGUUGGUUCCCCUAAGGGCCACCCUCAUGAGGGUGGAGCUUGUCUCACCAAUUCAGUCCUGCAGAGGUUUGCGAACCAAGUUCACUUCAGAGAUUCUUUUUGUUUCCAGUAACUGUCUUGCUAAGUGCUCAGCUUCUGAGUCUAGCGAUUGGGAAGGCUCAUGCGGGCCCGUUUUUAAGGUAUAACUUGGCUCAUAUAAAGCUAAAAGUCUGGCCUGAUUCAGUACUGCCCUAAGAAAAGCCAUUUGCUCAAAGGUGUUUACAGAGGUGGGAGACAGUGGGUUUCAGCUGCUUGGUUCUGUACUGGGGCAUUGGGAUCCAGCAAUCAUCAAGAAAGAUCUGGUCUGACCGUGACUCACUGGGCCUGAAUAAAUUACCCCUUCCCCUUUGAUAUCAGUUGCUUCCAGGACUUUCUUAUAGAAUUCAAAAGCAAGUGGAGCCUCCAUCUUAGGCCCUCACCCCAUUUUACAGAUGAGGAAGACUGAGAGAGUGAGUCUCAGAAAGAAGAAUCAAAUUACCUGUGGAAACUACUAAAGCCUAAAUCUUGUGGCUUCCACUUGCAGUGUGAUGGUACUUCACAACCAUGCUUUCUCUUAUCCCCCAGAUUUUAGAGCCUCGUUUUCUUUCCCCCUGCCUCAGUUUUCCCAGACUGAUGCAGACUUCAGAGGUCACCAACCUCCAGCCUUGAGCUCCCCUCACACCUGGAGCUCAGCACAUACUUAAGUCGUGAACUUUUCCCCACAGAGACAAGAUUAAAGGGAGAUGUUAAUAUUCAAGCAACCUUGCUAAACAAGC